GUAGGUGGCAAGCGUUGUCCGGAAUUAUUGGGGCGUAAAGCGCGCGCAGGCGGUUCUUUAAAUCUGAUGUGAAAGCCCACGGGCUCAACCGUGGAGGGUCAUUGGAAACUGGAGAACUUGAGUACAGAAGAGGAAAGCGGAAUUCCACGUGUAGCGGUGAAAUGCGUAGAGAUGUGGAGGAACACCAGUGGCGAAGGCGGCUUUCUGGUCUGUAACUGACGCUGAGGCGCGAAAGCGUGGGGAGCAAACAGGAUUAGAUACCCUGGUAGUCCACGCCGUAAACGAUGAGUGCUAAGUGUUAGGGGGUUUCCGCCCCUUAGUGCUGCAGCUAACGCAUUAAGCACUCCGCCUGGGGAGUACGGCCGCAAAGGCUG
rnacentral:rRNA from 1 species